rnacentral:rRNA from 1 species
UACGUAGGGACCAAGCGUUGUUCGGAUUUACUGGGCGUAAAGGGCGCGUAGGCGGCGUGGUAAGUCACUUGUGAAAUCUCUGAGCUUAACUCAGAACGGCCAAGUGAUACUGCUGUGCUAGAGUGCAGAAGGGGCAAUCGGAAUUCUUGGUGUAGCGGUGAAAUGCGUAGAUAUCAAGAGGAACACCUGAGGUGAAGACGGGUUGCUGGGCUGACACUGACGCUGAUGCGCGAAAGCCAGGGGAGCAAACAGG